GUCCUCAUAGUAUAAAUUAUUACCCUGGUCUUGUAAACCAGCAAUGGGGAAACACUCCCCUCAGGACA
rnacentral:tRNA from 1 species